UCGCUAAGAGAGCAGCCCGCCCCCGAUUAGCUUGUUGGUAGGGUAACGGCCUACCAAGGCUCCGAUCGGUAGGUGGCCUGAGAGGGUGGUCACUCACACUGGGACUGAGAUACGGCCCAGAGCGCCUACGGGGGGCAGCAGUCUAGAAGCUUCCACAAUGGACGAAAGUCUGAUGGAGCGACGCCGCGUGUGGGAUGACAGCCGUGAGGUUGUAAACCACUGUCAGCAGGGAAGAAUGCCUUGAUGGUGAAUCAGGGAGAGACGGUACCUGCAGAGGAAGCCCCGGCUAACUCCGUGCCAGCAGCCGCGGUAAUACGGAGGGGGCAAACGUUGUUCGGAUUUACUGGGCGUAAAGGGUGUCUAGGCGGUUCGAUUAGUCUGGUGUGAAAUAUCCUCGCUCAACGAGGAAGACGCAUUGGAAACUGUCGAGCUCGAGAGUGGAAGAGGCAGGUGGAAUUCCUGGUGUAGCGGUGGAAUGCGUAGAUCUCAGGAAGAACACUCGUGGCGAAGGCGGCCUGCUGGUCCAUUUCUGACGCUGAAGCACGAAAGCCAGGGGAGCGAACGGGAUUAGAUACCCCGGUAGUCCUGGCCGUAAACGUUGAACACUGGAUGUCGGGGGUAUCGACCCCCUCGGUGUCGGAGCUAACGCGUUAAGUGUUCCGCCUGGGGAGUACGACCGCAAGGUUGAAACUCAAAGGAAUUGACGGGGGCCCGCACAAGCGGUGGAGGAUGUGGUUUAAUUCGACGCAACGCGAAGAACCUUACCUGGGCUUAAACCGCAGGGUAAACCCUCUGAAAGGAGGGCUGCUUCGGCAAUCCUGUAGAGGUGCUGCAUGGCUGUCGUCAGCUCGUGUCGUGAGAUGUUGGGUUAAGUCCCGCAACGAGCGCAACCCUUGCUCUUAGUUACCAGCGCGUAAUGGCGGGGACUCUAAGAGGACUGCCCUCGCAAGGGGGAGGAAGGUGGGGAUGACGUCAAGUCCUCAUGGCCCUUAUGUCCAGGGCUACACACGUCCUACAAUGGCCGGUACAAAGGGCUGCAAGCUCGCGAGAGUUAGCUAAUCCCAAAAAGCCGGUCCCAGUUCGGAUUGCAGUCUGCAACUCGACUGCAUGAAGGUGGAAUCGCUAGUAAUCGUGGAUCAGCAUGCC
rnacentral:rRNA from 1 species